CGUUACCUAUAAAAUUUCGAGAAUAUCAACAAUGGCAUAAGCUAUACAUUUGAGAGAUUAAAACAACUAAUGAAUCGUCAAACUAAUGUGUUUAUACCCUAAUCCCGUCUAUUUCCUUCAUCGAAAUCGAAUCAAUAUAUCCAAGGUCAUCUAGGAUUGGUUAACUGAGUUUUAACUGUUCUCACAUGAAACAAGAUCAUCAGGCACAUGUAUAAAUCUUAUGCACUUUCAAGAUCGUCAAAUAUGCUGUCAGUGCUUCCUCGUUGAACAAUACUGGAAACAGGAUUCCCACCUUGGUCAUUUUUUAUGAUUGUUGCCUAUAAAAUUUCGAGAAUAUCAACAAUGGCAUAAGCUAUACAUUUGAGAGAUUAAAACAACUAAUGAAUCUUCAAACUAAUGUGUUUAUAUCCUAAUCCCGUCUAUUUCCUUCAUCGAAAUCGAAUCAAUAUAUCCAAGGUCAUCUAGGAUUAGUUAACUGAGCUUUAACUGUUCUCACAUGAAACAAGAUCAUUAGGCACAUGUAUAAAUCUUAUGCACUUUCAAGAUCGUCAAAUAUACUGUCGGUGCUUCCUCGUAGAACAAUAGUGGAAACAGGAUUCCCACCUUGGUCAUUUUUUAUGAUUGUUCCCUAUAAAAUUUCGAGAAUAUCAACAAUGGCAUAAGCUAUACAUUUGAGAGAUUAAAACAACUAAUGAAUCGUCAAACUAAUGUGUUUAUACCCUAAUCCCGUCUAUUUCCUUCAUCAAAAUCGAAUCAAUAUAUCCAAGGUCAUCUGGGUUUGGUUGAUUGAGCUUUAACCAUUCUCACAUGAAACAAGAUCAUCAGGCACAUGUAUAAAUCUUAUCCACUUUCAAGAUCGUCCAAUAUACUGUCGGUGUUCUGCGAGAACAAUAGUGGAAACAGGAUUUCCAC
rnacentral:lncRNA from 1 species